GAUGAAGAACGUAGCGAAAUGCGAUAAGUAAUGUGAAUUGCAGAAUUCAGUGAAUCAUCGAAUCUUUGAACGCACAUUGCGCCCCUUGGUAUUCCGAGGGGCAUGCCUGUUCGAGCGUCAUUAUAACCCUCAAGCUCAGCUUGGUGUCGGGGCCUGCUGCACUGGCAGCCCUUAAAAUCAGUGGCGGCGCCAUCUGGCUCUAAGCGUAGUAAUUCUUCUCGCUAUGGAGUCCUGGUGGAUGCUUGCCAUCAACCCCCAAUUUUUCUAUGGUUGACCUCGGAUCAGGUAGGGAUACCCGCUGAACUUAAGCAUAUCAAUAAGCGGAGGA
rnacentral:misc_RNA from 1 species